rnacentral:sRNA from 1 species
UCAGUGAUGCCUCUGUCCAAUGGUUUGC